rnacentral:lncRNA from 10 species
CACAACAUGGCCAGGGGAUGUUUACAUCCCCACCCAGACAGCUGUGCUCAUUGAAAUAGAAGGAAUGAUGAUGAUGAUGUUUAUUUCCGGAAUGGUAAAACACUGAAACCCUUGGUCUCUAAAAAUAGGUCACUGUUUUACUUAGAGGUGAACUGGCAUUGUUUACCUAAAUGCCGAAGUGUCUGACAAUGGUUCUCCAAAGUUAGUUGAAGUUGAAAAAGGUCUCAUGUUACUUCGAAAUUGUCAGAAAUGGUAAGUCUUUGAAAUUCUGCAGAUUUUUAUUCCUGGCAUAAUCAGAAAAUUUGGAAUCACAAUUACAAGACUGUUUGCAUGUAUUUACUCUAAAUUGGCCAAGUUUGGGAAAUCAUGAAUGUAGCUGGUUCUUAUCUCAAGAGUUCUCUAAAUCAGAACUGCUUUGUUGAUGCCUGAAUGCUGACCCUGAAAAGUUUCUAAGGCCACCUCAACCCUAGACUUGACUGGCCCAUUUAGGAAUAAAAUAAAGUGUGCAGAAGAGUCCACUUUACCAGUGACAGUCCUUUUCUUGUGAUUCUAGGGAAGCCAGAUAACUCCGUGGGAUUGCCUUUAAAAACAUUACAGAAAUCUCCAUUCUGCAAAUCUAAAGAUAAAACUUCAUUUUCUGGACAAGCUGAGCUCUCAUGCAAGAGUGCAAGCAGGUUCAGUCUCAGAAGGGCAGACUUAUAGUAACCGAACUCAUUUGUAAACUGAGCAACCAAGCCCAUUUUUAAGAUCCAGAACCACUGAAGAAACUCAAGCAGUGCUCUUGGCUCUUGGCUCUUAGCUGGUGCACUCUCCCUCUGGGGGCCUACAGGAGGUCCCAAUUAUCAUUAGUGGUUGCUUGAUGAGGGUGGCUUCCAGACGCUUCUGAGUACUGACAACAGUGUGCUCUGCUGCCAAGGCAUCCUGCCUCCCUAUGGAGAACAUGGAGUAGUCAUUUAAUACCUGCCACCCAAGGGACUGGAUGGAAGAAGGGCAGGCUUCAGAGGAUUUAUACUCUGAAGACAGUUAUGUUUGAUCUGAAAAUGAAAAAGUGGUGGGGAACCAGCACAAAGGCACUGUGUAUAAAUCAGGAAACAAGCCCUCACCAGAUACCAAGUCUACUGGCACCUUGAUCUUGGACUUCCCAUCCUCCAGAACUGUGAGAAAUAAAUUUCUGUUGUUUAUAAGUCACCCACUCCAUGGUAUUUUGUUAUGGCAGCCUGAACAGACUAAGAUAAAAUAUGACUUCCCAUUCUACAGAUAGAAAAGCUGAUGAGCAGAGAAGAUAAUUAACUUGCCUAAUGGAUACCUAGCUAGUAAGAAAGAGUGAGUGAGCUGGGACUUAAAUCCAGAGGCUGUGUUUCUGACAUCCCACAUUAAAAGCUAUUUCCCAUGUCUCCACUCCUGACCCCAGUAAAGCUAUUUCCACCCAUAUCUUUUCUGCCAGACAAUCUCAUAAGCCUCCUGACCAUUAGUUUUGCACCACAAAAU